rnacentral:rRNA from 1 species
AUUGAACGCUGGCGGCAGGCCUAACACAUGCAAGUCGAACGAGUGGCGGACGGGUGAGUAAUGUCUGGGACACUGCGCGAUGGAGGGGGAUAACUACUGGAAACGGUAGCUUAUCCCGCAUACUAUCGGAUGUGCCCAGAUGGGUUUAGCUUGUAGGUGGGGUAAAGGCUCACCUAGGCGACGAUCCCUAGCUGGUCUGAGAGGAGGACCAGCCACACUGGAACUGAGACACGGUCCAGACGCCUACGGGAGGCAGCAGUGGGGAAUAUUGCACAAUGGGCGCAAGCCUGAUGCAGCCAUGCCGCGUGUAUGAAGAAGGCCUUCGGGUUGUAAAGUACUUUCAGCGGGGAGGCGUUACCCGCAGAAGAAGCACCGGCUAACUCCGUGCCAGCAGCCGCGGUAAUAC